UCCGCCGUGGACAGGGGGAAAGGCUUCGGUCGGUCAGCUUGUCAGCUCACCCGCGGCCGCAACGUGGACGUGUCGAGGGGAGAGACAAAGGCGCGUUUCCAGUUUCAGAGCCAACGGGAGGCAGAGGGAAGGGGCUGUGGUGUCCGCCCUGGCGGAUCGGGGCCGGGCGUCUGGUGCUGGGAGCGAUUUCUUUCACCCUUUUCCUGGGCUCCUCCUCCCUUAGAGGAAACGCUUCGCCCUCACCCGCAGCCUCCCUUCCGGCACCCCGGAUCGUGGAUCGCGGGUCCGUGGACUGGAAGGAAGGUCUGGCCUUUCCCUUCCUCGGAUGCCGCCGAGCCACGAAAAGGUCUCCGCCGUUUAUUUGUUGGGAGGGCGAGCGGCAGGGACCCCCGGCGAGGUCUCUCGCUUUUCCUCUCCCCCGAAAGGCCGGCGGGAAAGGGACCGCGAGGGGCUUCUUUCCCAGAGGGAAGAACACGGGCGAGGAAUCGGGCCCUCCAGGCACGGCGCGCUGGAGAAGGACGGCCGCCUAGGCUCGGGAGGUCUCCUCCUCCGCACCGCCGGGGCCUGCCUGUCUGGGGACAAAGGCCUUGGAGUAGGGACUUCUUCAGCCCUCGCCCUUCCGCAGGCAACCCCCGCCGGCCAGAUCCGCUGACUCCCUGGGGUGACAAACGCCGGAUCGUCCCCGGGCACUCGGUCCUAUGCGCUCGGGAAGGCCCGUGCCCAAGCGCCUCUCCCGUGCUCGCUUCCGCUUCGGCGGCUGCUAUUCGGGACGCGAUCUUGGUUCAUGCCAACCGAGCCGCCUCUUCCAAGCCCCGGGACCCUCAGCUCCGGCCGCCCGAAGUGCCGGCGGCUGCCCCUUGGGCUCCCUUGUCGGAUCGGCCGCGAUUCCAGUUGCUCGCGACCUUUUUAAAACCAGAGAAACCGGAACAAACGGGGUCCCGAUCUCCACACAAUUGGGACCAACAGGGAGAGGACUUUGUCCGAAAGAAAUCCGACGCUCGCGAAAACGGCGCAAAAGGUUUCCCACAGAGACUGUCCCCCCCCCCAAGGAAGCUCAGCCUGCCGCCGCCGCCGCCGCCCCCAACACAAAGCUGGCGGAUGAACCGCGUUCCCAAGACCAGGGAAACCGAACGCGAAGGAGGGAGCCGCUCCCGUGAAUGUACGAAUCCAAGCAAACGGAAGGCGCAGAAGAGAGAAGGGCCGCCGCAAGAAAGCCAGAACUGGGAGCAAAGUCAGAAGGUCGCAGGACCGCGCAGGAUUGAACUCAUUCCCCUUCUAGGGCCCGACUCUCCUCGGAAGGUGGCGAUCCGACGAAAUCUGCCUUUGUCUCGCUCUCGGAUUCCCUCCCUGUUGUGUCCGCACUGA
rnacentral:lncRNA from 1 species